UACAGAGGUCUCAAGCGUUGUUCGGAAUCACUGGGCGUAAAGGGUGCGUAGGCCGCACGGUAAGUCAGAGGUGAAAUCCCGGAGCUCAACUCCGGAAAUGCCUCCGAUACUGCCGUGCUUGAGGACUGGAGAGGAGUCUGGAAUUCACAGUGGAGCAGUGAAAUGCGUAGAUAUCAGGAGGAACACCAGUGGCGAAGGCGGCAUCCUGGACCGGCAUUGACGCUGAGGAGCGAAAGCCAGGGGAGCAAACGGG
rnacentral:rRNA from 1 species